CUAGGAGGAAUGAAGAAUUACUGUAAAAGGUAGUUUUCUAUAUAAGAAAUAAAAUAUAGAGUUAACGUAAUUAAGUAAAGUUCCGAGUAGAAAUUGAUUAUGACAGUUUCUAUGAGUAUGUCUUGACCAAUGCAUGUGCCAACAGUCGCGGCAACACAUGUAAKACUUGUGUUAUUCAUCUUUAAUAGGUUUAAAGGGUACCUAGACAGUUAAUUAAGCCUGCAAAGGGUACUAAUAAACUAGAGUUUAAUAUAAGAAGAAGAGUACGGUGAGUGUAGAGAUAAAAUUCAUUGAUACCACUUAGAAACUGGCAAAAGCGAAGGCAAUCUUCUAUGUAAAAACUGACKUUGAGGGACKAAGGCUUGUUAAAAAUAAUAGGAUUAGAUACCCUAGUAUUGKGAGCAGACAAUGAUGAAUGCCAUAUGUAAGAAUAUAUUUUUUGUGUAUAAAUGAAAGUGUAAGCAUUCCACCUCAAGAGUAAUAUGGCAACAUAUAAACUGAAAUCAUUAGACCGUUUSUGAAACUCGUAGUGAAGUAUGUUGUUUAAUUUGAUGAUCCACAAAGAACCUUACCACAAUUUGAAUAUNUAUAUAAUGUGUGUGUAGGUGKGUGUUUAUAUAGAUACAAGCGUUGCACGGCUGUCUUCAGUUAAUGUCGUGAGACUUUGGUUAGAUCCAUUUAAUUAACGUAUAACCCUUACUUUAUUUAGUAUAAAAUAGUUCGCCGCUAUAUUGGUAGUGAUAUAAGGGACCAAGACAAGUCAUCAUGGCCUAAAUAUUGUGGGCUAUAGACGUGCCACAUAAGCCCUAACAAAUAGAUGCA
rnacentral:rRNA from 1 species